rnacentral:lncRNA from 1 species
GACGACCUUGACCUUCGUCUGCUUCUCGUUUCCAGCAGCAUCCAGGACGACCUCGACCUACUGCCACUAGCUUUUGGUGCACCUCCUGUUAGCUGCUAGCUGUUACCCAGUGUUCUUCAUGCUACCGCUACAAAGAAGGUAAUAAAAAAUAUUCACUGCCGCUAUUGUAUAGCAAGUUUAGGAAUUGGGUCUGAUGUUGUGUGGGCAUGCAGCAUAAUUCUAAGGAAAUAAAUAUAGAAGUUCAUAUAUAAAGCAUAAUUAUGCUGCAUACUCUAUUAUAAGUUCUAAGGAAAUAAAUAUAGAAGUUCAUAUUUCAAAACAAAUGAAGUAUUUUGGAAGUAAAACAAACUAUUUCAAAGUACAUAAAUUAUAUUUAGGUAUCUUUGUGUACUUCAGUAUUAAUGUACAUGAACUUGUUCUUUUUAUGUGAACUUGUGCAUUUGCCCAUCGGACAAACAGUUUGAUUUGCACUUUUUUUUGCCAUAUUUGACCUGUCUCUAGUUCCAUCUCGUUCUUGAGUUCUUCUGACCAAGAGCUAGUAAGAUCAAACAUGAAUUUACACCAGUUCAAAAAACAGAUUGUUGGGAAAUAAGAUUAAGACCAGAAACCAGAAAAGAUGUACAAAAAAAAAGUUAAAAAGCGUUUCAUUGAGGCCUAUAUAAAGAAAACAAUUUGUUGAUCUAUGAAUUUAAAUAAAAACUUGGAAAAGUUUGAAAAAAUCACAUAGAAAGUUCGAACUCCAAAACCCGGCAAGUUCAUGGUAAAAUACAAAAAUAGGCAGAAAAGGUACACCCCCAUUGAUUCAUUCAAAAAAUAGAAAAGUUGGGAAGCUCACGUGCAUACCUCUAAAAAGAGUUCAAUAUAGCAGUUCAAAAAAAAUGAGUAGUUCUAAGUUUCAAAUACAAUAUGUGAGUUCAAUAUAGCAGUCCAACACUGUUCCCAUAUAUAUGUGAGGUGCUUGCAUGUUGGGGUGUUACAUCUCCGGCGAGGUCGCUGUAAUGCACCAGCUCCACCACACUAACCUCAUCUUUGGUUUAUCUUCUGUAUGACCUAUAGGAGUUCUCCGGUGGCUGUUCAACAAAAUUUGCUGUAAGUUUCUUUCUCAUAGAUUUUUAUUCAAUAUAUUUCUUGUUGAUCCUCACACGUGCGGUUAACAGAAAAAUGAAGUUCAAAAACAUCAUCGGGGCAGGUUCAUGGAUCCUCACACUCUU